GAUGAACGCUGGCGGCGUGCCUAAUACAUGCAAGUUGUGCGGUAACAGAGAGAGCUUGCUCUCUGCUGACGAGCGGCGGACGGCAGAGUAACGCGUAGGAACAUACCCCAAACUGAGGGAUAACUGCUCGAAAGAGUAGCUAAUACCGCAUGUGGUCUUCGGAUUAAAAGCUUCGGCGGUUUGGGAGUGGCCUGCGUCCGAUUAGCUAGUUGGUGAGGUAAUUGCUUUGUUACAUGGCACCUGAUACUUUAUUACAUUUCUAGUGGCGGACGGGUGAGUAACACGUUGGAACCUGCCCCAAAGUGAGGAAUAAGCCACCGAAAGGUGGUCUAAUACUUCAUAAUAUCCAUCUCGUAUGGAUUAAAGCUUUAUGCGCUUUGGGAGGGGCCUGCGUAACAUUAG
rnacentral:rRNA from 1 species